UAGUGGCGAACGGGUGAGUAACACGUGGGCAAUCUGCCCUUCACUCUGGGACAAGCCCUGGAAACGGGGUCUAAUACCGGAUACCACUCCUGCCUGCAUGGGCGGGGGUUGAAAGCUCCGGCGGUGAAGGAUGAGCCCGCGGCCUAUCAGCUUGUUGGUGGGGUAAUGGCCCACCAAGGCGACGACGGGUAGCCGGCCUGAGAGGGCGACCGGCCACACUGGGACUGAGACACGGCCCAGACUCCUACGGGAGGCAGCAGUGGGGAAUAUUGCACAAUGGGCGAAAGCCUGAUGCAGCGACGCCGCGUGAGGGAUGACGGCCUUCGGGUUGUAAACCUCUUUCAGCAGGGAAGAAGCGAAAGUGACGGUACCUGCAGAAGAAGCGCCGGCUAACUACGUGCCAGCAGCCGCGGUAAUACGUAGGGCGCAAGCGUUGUCCGGAAUUAUUGGGCGUAAAGAGCUCGUAGGCGGCUUGUCACGUCGGAUGUGAAAGCCCGAGGCUUAACCUCGGGUCUGCA
rnacentral:rRNA from 1 species